rnacentral:rRNA from 1 species
UACAGAGGUGGCAAGCGUUGUUCGGAAUUACUGGGCGUAAAGGGCGCGUAGGUGGCCAUCUAAGUCAGACGUGAAAUCCCCAGGCUUAACCUGGGAACUGCGUGUGAUACUGGAUGGCUUGAGUUCGGGAGAGGGAUGCGGAAUUCCAGGUGUAGCGGUGAAAUGCGUAGAUAUCUGGAGGAACACCGGUGGCGAAGGCGGCAUCCUGGACCGACACUGACACUGAGGAGCGAAAGCCAGGGGAGCAAACGGG